rnacentral:rRNA from 1 species
AUUGAACGCUGGCGGCAUGCCUUACACAUGCAAGUCGAACGGCAGCGGACCUUCGGGUGCCGGCGAGUGGCGAACGGGUGAGUAAUGCAUCGGAACGUACCUUUCAGUGGGGGAUAACGUAGCGAAAGUUACGCUAAUACCGCAUAUUCUGUGAGCAGGAAAGCAGGGGAUCGCAAGACCUUGUGCUGAUUGAGCGGCCGAUGUCAGAUUAGCUAGUUGGUGAGGUAAAGGCUAACCAAGGCGACGAUCUGUAGCGGGUCUGAGAGGAUGAUCCGCCACACUGGGACUGAGACACGGCCCAGACGCCUACGGGAGGCAGCAGUGGGGAAUUUUGGACAAUGGGGGCAACCCUGAUCCAGCCAUGCCGCGUGAGUGAAGAAGGCCUUCGGGUUGUAAAGCUCUUUCGGCCGGGAAGAAAUCGCACAGGCUAAUACCUUGUGUGGAUGACGGUACCGGAAUAAGAAGCACCGGCUAACUACGUGCCAGCAGCCGCAGUAACAC